GAUGAACGCUGGCGGCGUGCCUAAUACAUGCAAGUCGAGCGAACAGACGAGGAGCUUGCUCCUCUGACGUUAGCGGCGGACGGGUGAGUAACACGUGGAUAACCUACCUAUAAGACUGGGAUAACUUCGGGAAACCGGAGCUAAUACCGGAUAAUAUAUUGAACCGCAUGGUUCAAUAGUGAAAGACGGUUUUGCUGUCACUUAUAGCUGGAUCCGCGCGGCAUUAGCUAGUUGGUAAGGUAACGGCUUACCAAGGCAACGAUGCGUAGCCGACCUGAGAGGGUGAUCGGCCACACUGGAACUGAGACACGGUCCAGACUCCUACGGGAGGCAGCAGUAGGGAAUCUUCCGCAAUGGGCGAAAGCUUGACGGAGCAACGCCGCGUGAGUGAUGAAGGUCUUCGGAUCGUAAAGCUCUGUUAUUAGGGAAGAACAGAUGUGUAAGUAACUAUGCACGUCUUGACGGUACCUAAUCAGAAAGCCACGGCUAACUACGUG
rnacentral:rRNA from 1 species